UCGACUUUUCGGCUUUUCAAUUUCUCUUUUUUUUCCGUGCUACAAGUUUCCAAUUCUUUGAUUUCGCAAUUUUUCGUCAUUCCAAUUUGUGUCGAUAAAUACCAAGACAGAAAAGGCAAAACCUUCUUUUAAAACUUUCCUAAUAUUUAUCUCUCUUAAUUAGGAAUUUACAUUAGUUCGCAAAAAUCUGUUCUCUCUGAAAAUGAGUACCUUAAAGCACCAUGUGGGUUCAGAAGGGCUGGAGAAAAAUGCAGUUACAAUUAUCGUUCACAUUAAUUAUUUUUUCAAUAUUUCUACGUCUUCAAUAAAUAGCUCUUUAAAUUAGAUUAGAUUAGAAUUUAAAAACAGUGUAUUAUUAUAUUAGUUUAUAAUGCAAGGUAUUACGGCAAGAAUUAGCACAUAAGCGCAGGGAAUGCGAUAAUUAAUGCCAUAUAAUACACUAUUUUCUGUCUACUUUGCAUUUUAGAUAAAUUUUAAAAAUAUAUUCUAAAAAAAUUAUUUUCGUUUAGGGAUUUUCGACAGUCGCUUGGUGACAAAAUCAACAUUUUCGGGAUUAUUUAAUACAAAAGGGAGCAAAUAUGUACAUCGAAAUAUUCAGUUUGUUAUUUAGUUGCCAUCAUCAUUUUGGAAAAAUACAGAUUUUGAAUUAACAAAUUCUUAAAAAUGAGGAAAACGAAAUAUUAAAAACAAACGAUUUUCUGGAUAACAAGAUUUUCGUUGGGGAUCGUGUUAUAUCUUAUCUGAAAAAUGGAAUUAUAAAUACAAAAAAUUCAAACAAAAGCGACAAUUAAUUUAUCACGGGAAAUGUUUCUAAUUUAACUUAAUUCCCAAUAACCCUUUAGAUUAGAUUAAGCCCUUAAGGUGCAUGUUUUAACCAAUCACUGGCACAUAUUCCACAUUUUAAUCAUGUAUUAAAUUAAUCGAGGAUUAAAGAUAUUUUUUUAUUGCUACCUUAUUUUGCUUAUUUAAAGUACGCCUCAGCGUGUUUAAAUCCAACUUACAAUCAAGCCGUGUUUUAAAGUUACUCUAACAACAUGAGCAACCCGAGAAAGGCAAUUUAAUUUUAAAAGUGACACUUGAUGAUGUCAGAAUCUACUUGAGUAAUACAGAGGGUGGGAAAUUCCUGAUUUUUGCCAUACUAAGCUAGAUGUCCCCUGGAAUGAAUUUCCUGUAAGAAGCUAGCUCUGGACACUGUUACUACUCCUAUCUAGAUGUAGAAGUUCGCCACGACUGUCUUCACAUUGUGGGGAAUCCAUUCCACAAAGCUGCUGUUCUUGUUCUGGAUGUUGAGCUUUUCUUCUUCUUCUAGAAGAACAGAUGCUCAACAUGCAGAACAACAACAGCAGCUACUUCCUGGAAUGGAUUCCCAACAACGGGAAGACUGCCGUAUGCGACGUUUCUCCUAGUCAUCUUCAUCGAUAAUUCCACUGCCAUCUGUUACUGUUGUAAACACCACUGCAUUGUUGUUAAAGUGCCACUAAAAUAUUUUAAAUAAAUAAAUGAAGAUUU